GUGAGCAGGAGGAAACGGUGCUGGGUCAAUACUGAGGUGAGGUGGUUUACCCUGUCUUGGCCAAGAAUGUGAAUAUUUCAGGCUUCUGUUGCAUGUGUUAAAUUUCCAUGUCUCUCUCUCCUCAGAGUGUUUGGAGCCUACAGCAUGGCUGUAGAUCAUGAGCACAGCAUUUGGUGUGAGCGUCGAUUAUCCCUACAACCCAAAGGACCCAUUUGUGGAAAAAACAUGAAACACUUAAGAUUUGAAUUUUUGAUCUGUUAUUCAUGUCAGUAGGAUCCCUUAGAAAGUGUAUCACCCCUAUGACAGCUGGAAGUAAUUCUGGAAGAUGAUGUACCCUCUCACAACAAAGCUUUUCCUAUGCUGUGGGAUUUGGUUUCUGAUCACCAUUCAAGAAGAGGAUUCUGAUUUGUG